rnacentral:tRNA from 2 species
GGACGAGAAGCUCAAAGGCUGAGCGAGCGGUUGUUAACCGAUUGGUUGUGGGUUCGAUUCCCACCUUGUCCU